CAAUUAUACAGCGAAACUGCGAAUGGCUCAUUAUAUAAGUUAUCGUUUAUUUGAUAGUACCUUACUACUUGGAUAACCGUGGUAAUUCUAGAGCUAAUACAUGCUAAAAAUCCCGACUUCGGAAGGGAUGUAUUUAUUAGAUUAAAAACCAAUGCCCUCUGGGCUCUUUGGUGAUUCAUGAUAACUUCUCGAAUCGCAUGGCCUUGCGCCGGCGAUGGUUCAUUCAAAUUUCUUCCCUAUCAACUUUCGAUGUUUGGGUAUUGGCCAAACAUGGUCGCAACGGGUAACGGAGGGUUAGGGCUCGACCCCGGAGAAGGAGCCUGAGAAACGGCUACUACAUCCAAGGAAGGCAGCAGGCGCGCAAAUUACCCAAUCCCGACACGGGGAGGUAGUGACAAUAAAUACUGAUACAGGGCUCUUUUGGGUCUUGUAAUUGGAAUGAGUACAAUUUAAAUCCCUUAACGAGGAACAAUUGGAGGGCAAGUCUGGUGCCAGCAGCCGCGGUAAUUCCAGCUCCAAUAGCGUAUAUUAAAGUUGUUGUGGUUAAAAAGCUCGUAGUUGAACCUUGGGCCUGGCUGGCCGGUCCGCCUCACCGCGUGUACUGGUCCGGCCGGGCCUUUCCCUCUGUGGAACCUCAUGCCCUUCACUGGGUGUGGCGGGGAAACAGGACUUUUACUUUGAAAAAAUUAGAGUGCUCCAGGCAGGCCUAUGCUCGAAUACAUUAGCAUGGAAUAAUGAAAUAGGACGUGUGGUUCUAUUUUGUUGGUUUCUAGGACCGCCGUAAUGAUUAAUAGGGACAGUCGGGGGCAUCAGUAUUCAAUUGUCAGAGGUGAAAUUCUUGGAUUUAUUGAAGACUAACUACUGCGAAAGCAUUUGCCAAGGAUGUUUUCAUUAAUCAGGAACGAAAGUUAGGGGAUCGAAGACGAUCAGAUACCGUCGUAGUCUUAACCAUAAACUAUGCCGACUAGGGAUCGGACGAUGUUAUUUUUUGACGCGUUCGGCACCUUACGAGAAAUCAAAGUG
rnacentral:rRNA from 1 species